rnacentral:lncRNA from 1 species
UACAGUUCUCAUGCUUUUAUGAUUAUUUGAAAUUUCCACAUGUGCACAGUUUAAAGACCAUGAAUGCAUCAGAUGGUUUCUUAUUGGUGUCUCUCCCUGGUGAAGAGGAGUCAAAAAAAGGAGAGUCCUUGCUUGGAAAUCUACCUCCUCAAUAACAUAUUUUUUGGGGUAAUGGGAGUGUUUUUGUUUCUUCUUUCUUCCACAGAAUGCUAUAUACUUGUGGCAUAUAUUAUUUAAACAUUGAGGCACAGGUUUUGCUGCUUUUGAAAAGUUUCAUUUACAGUAUCUAAUCCUUCCUAAUAGUUGAAGUCUCCCAGUUAUUUUAUGGCUCUCUAUCAGGGAAGAUUCGGAGAUAUCUAUUGAGUCGCCCUUCUCAUGGAAAUUAUUUUAUAGAGCUUCAAGUUUGAUAUGGUUCCGAAGCUCCAUCAGUGCAUCAUAGUAUGUCAACAUGUCAUGUAGGAAGGUGUUGCGCCAAGAGCCUGACAAAAUGUGAGAAUCGGAAGAAUUUUUACUCAAGUUUGAGUGAAUUUUCUCUAGAAUCCAGUUUAUUGGCUCAAUCUUUCCACUAAAGUUUUUGAACAGAAGCGAGCAGCAAAGUAUGUGAUCUCUCAUUAGGGUACAUUCUCUACUUCUCUUUGAUGGAAAAGGGUCACCCUUUUUUCACUCUCUUCUUUUCACAUAUUCUGUAG